rnacentral:rRNA from 1 species
GACGAACCGAGCGAACGUUGUUCGGAAUCACUGGGCUUAAAGGGCGCGUAGGCGGGUGCUCAAGUCCGGGGUGAAAAUCCUCCAGCUCAACUGGAGAACUGCCUCGGAUACUGGGUGCCUCGAGGGUGGCAGGGGUAUGCGGAACUAUCGGUGGAGCGGUGAAAUGCGUUGAUAUCGAUAGGAACUCCGGUGGCGAAGGGCGGCAUACUGGUCCACUUCUGACGCUGAGGCGCGGAAAGCCCAGGGGA